UUGGGAUGGAGGCAGUUAAGGACAGUUGGAGAGGAAGGUGAAGAAGGGAAGAGGAACCGACUGGAAAAGUGAAGAGCGGAUACUUUGGUGGAUUAUCAGAAGACCAGUGAGAGAAAGAACAGUUGUGAGGAGCAGGCAGAAGUAGAACACCCACCAUGCAAGCAUCUUAGUAGAUUCAGGGACAAGUAAAGGCCUUGCCAUCUCAAGACAAAGAUUGUCCAAUUGGCUGGUUCAACUGAUCUUCUUUUGCUACAAAAAGCAAGGCAUUCAGCCACCCUCCAAGAUCAGGGCACAUUCCACUAGUGACUACCAUGACUACCUCAGCUGCCCACAUGUCAGGCAUUUGUAUGAAGAACAUCUGCAAGGCCGCUACCUGGUCCUCAGAACUGCCCUUUGUCAUACACUAUGCUGUGGACUUACGAUUUGCUUCAGAGGCCGCUCUUCAGCUGGUUUUCGGCCUUCUCCCCUUGGCAUGGCAGCCACCUCGCAACAGGCCUCUGCAUGACCUGGAUUUCAGGAAUAAGGGAGGCCAGUGGGGGAACCUCCGCGGACCCCCCACCGCCUCGGACAACUCCCCUGGAGGGGGUAAGAGUUAAAAAAACCCAACAAUUUAAAAACAAAUCACAAACCCUCGCUGAACUGGGGGUGGGGUGGGGUUGAGUGGGUGCUGGACCGAACCGGAAUAAACCUCUGUUGAGACCAAAAGAAAGCUGUUUUCAUAUGAUCUUUCCCUGUGCAUGGACUAAGGAGUAGGCUCAGGGAGAAAAAGAACUGGGGUUUUUUAGAGGAUUAUUACCCCAAUCGACAAAUCUGUGCAUGCAGCAUAUUGUAACCCACACAACUACCUGCAAGGAUCUCUUCACCUGCUUCCUGUGGAAAACAUUGCUGGUGCUGUACAUUUAUUUUAUUUAUUUAUCUGUUGAGCACAUUUCUAUCUCACCCAAUAUACACCUCUCUGGGUGCUUAUUUAGGUAAAGUGUGUCAUCAAGUCGA